rnacentral:sRNA from 1 species
CCUGGCCUGGAGUUAGGAGACAACCAGAAAGAGGGGCUUAGAGGCUGCAGAGCAGCCUGGCUUCCCCACUCUUACUUGCACAAGGUACUCUUCUGUCCUCGCAACUCCACACCUACAGUUGGCACAAGCUCUACCCUCCGCCUUCCGUCUUCCCUACCACUGCAGCCAUCUUGGGGCUUGUCUCCAGAGCCUGCCUGUGUGUCGGUAAACCGGUGAGAGAAACGCAAGGCAGUCCAACCCGGCACCUAAACUUAGAAUCGAAGAUAUAGACGGACGUUUGCAAGUGAGUUAUAGGUCACGAGGCUACUGAAGGGACUAUGACAGGAGGAGGAAGGCUUAAAGCGGCGAGAAGUGGAGGAGCUAAGGAAAACACGUGACAAGGGCAGGCUGUGGAAUAGUUUCAGAUGUCUGUAAUUCACUUCAGAAUAAUUGCUUCCAAUGGCCCAGUGCUGGCAGGGAUGGAACCCGCUGGACGCGGGUGCACGACUGGACAGUUAUCGAAGCCGGGUCCUCAGGAUGCUGAGAUACAGUAAUUACGGAUUCUACUGUACUUCUGCACCAGUUCGAAAUUUUCCGUAAUAAAAAGUUAAAAACAAAUCACGUGCCAAAAACUCCCAAAUGUAACUGUCAUUAUUUAAUAACUUUGAACUUAAUGUGGACCUAAGAAGCCAUCUUU